AGUGAACGCUGGCGGCAGGCCUAACACAUGCAAGUCGAGCGGCAGCGGGCUGUAGCAAUACAGUGCCGGCGAGCGGCGGACGGGUGAGGAAUACAUCGGAAUCUACCUUGUCGUGGGGGAUAACGUAGGGAAACUUACGCUAAUACCGCAUACGAACUACGGUUGAAAGCGGAGGACCGCAAGGCUUCGCGCGAUUGGAUGAGCCGAUGUCGGAUUAGCUAGUUGGCGGGGUAAUGGCCCACCAAGGCGACGAUCCGUAGCUGGUCUGAGAGGAUGAUCAGCCACACUGGAACUGAGACACGGUCCAGACUCCUACGGGAGGCAGCAGUGGGGAAUAUUGGACAAUGGGCGCAAGCCUGAUCCAGCCAUGCCGCGUGUGUGAAGAAGGCCUCGGUGUAAGCACUUUGUUCGGGUAAGGAAAAGGACUACCGGUUAAUACCCGGGAGU
rnacentral:rRNA from 1 species